UACGUAGGGGGCUAGCGUUGCUCGGAUUGACUGGGCGUAAAGGGCGCGUAGGCGGUUCGUACAGUCAGACGUGAAAUUCCUGGGCUCAACCUGGGGGCUGCGUUUGAUACGUGCGGACUUGAGUGCGGAAGAGGGUCGUGGAAUUCCCAGUGUAGAGGUGAAAUUCGUAGAUAUUGGGAAGAACACCCGUGGCUAAGGCAGUUCUCUAGUACGGUACUGACGCUGAGACGCGAAAGCGUGGGGAGCGAACAGG
rnacentral:rRNA from 1 species